UUUAUCACUGAGAUUUAGUUAUAAUGUGAGGACCAGCCCCAGGAAGGAUGCCCACCUACUGACCCUUAUAAGGGGAUCCUCAUCUGUCCCAGACAAUUCUUUAACCACACAGAUCUCUGCCCUAUUUAUACGGCCCUCUUAUCCAGCGCUGAUUGGACCAGGGAAGGUCAUGAGGUUCAUCGACAGCUAGAGUGUAUCUGGAAAACAGCUAACAGAAACAUGUGGCACUCAGUGGCUUCUUAGGACAGAAAAUCCUGACCCUGUAGUUGGGUGGAGCCCAACGGGUACUACUUCUGGCCAAUGAGUUGUGAGGGAGAAAUAAAGCAUGAAAGAUCCUGGCUGGCAAAUUGAAUUGCUGACACAAGAUCCUCCAAAGCUCCUUACUUCUGCCACUCCCAUUGGCUGAACCCAACUGGAGGUCUUAGAUGCAAAAGCAGCCUCGAAGACACAGAGCAAUAUUCCAGAGGGUGGGCCUUCAGCCUAAAUCCAGUAUAAGGACGAUCCAGAACAAAGAACCAGCUUGAUUCACAACAGACACCUAAUAUGAGUGAGAAAUUAUCCUAUAAUACUUUCCCUGAUAUUUAGGAGAUAGUCUGGCACUGCAGCAAAAGUUAGUUUUUCCUGAUUCAUACAAAGUAGCUCUAUCCAAGAGAUGUCCUUCCACACAGAGACAAAAUGAAAGGAUGUCUCAAGGUGAAAGCAUCCAUCCUCCUCAGCUAGAGUACAGAUGAAGUACAUUUCUAUCCAGUAUAAGUGCUCUCUGAAAGCUUUACUGUCGCUUCAUCUCUAUUCAUGAGAACUUUAAGAGACAAAUUCUGGAAAGAAAAUGUCUUUCUUUAUGUUGGCUUCCUUAAGGCUCAAAGACUUGUUGGAAUGCAGGACAGAAUAAAUAGCAUUUCAAAUACUACAUCUGUACGUGGGGGCAGGAAAAAGGAUUUUAUUCCCCCAUGAAUUGUCAUAGAAGGAAAUGAAGAUUGCUAAAAACAUAUAUUCUAUGAAACUAUGACAGAAAAGAAAAAACAAUACUUUCAUUUUUCCAGAUUUUAUCAUUGUAAUUCUUCCAUGAAUGCUAUUAUACUGAGAUCCCUGCAGAAAUGACAUAAUUGGCCAAUGUAUUUGAGGUGUGGGUGGCAUAAUUUUAUAGACAUUAUUAUGGUUAGUGCUGUGAAAUAAUUUAGUUGUUGCCUUUCUUUUAUUUUCCUCUUUCAGUGUGUUUUAGCUCAUAACAAACUCUUUGAAACCUGUACAAUCAGGGGAAAUGAAUAUAAUAUGACUGGGAAAUUACAAAUGAAAUUUGCAAGAGAUGGGCAUUGAUUUAUCCAAGCAAAAUUGAUUUAUUCAUCCUUUUAGUGUUUUCUGGGAUAAGAAUUAAAGGUAAUAAAAAUUUUAAUAUUAUUUGAUAGAUAUUUGCAUGUUUGGAAUAGUAAAUAUGGUUAAAUGUUGCAAGUAAUUACUUAGGAAUAUUAAAUAUUUGUGAAAGAUUAUUGUUUUGGAUUUCUAAUAACAUAAAGCAAAAGAAUUUUUAUUCUAGCAGUCGUGUGUUUCAAGCAUUAGAUGCUUAUGAUUUAAUUGUUUCAGUAGGUAAAAUAAUACUAUCUUAAAAAGAAAUAGGUCUUAAAAAUUAAAUACAUCUAUAUAUACUGACCUGGAGGAAUAUCUGUAAUAUAAUCUU
ensembl:lncRNA